rnacentral:misc_RNA from 1 species
GGUGCAAAAAGUGCGAGCGUUGCGCGCACUCACUGUCAAGCACAGCUGGCACGGUGUAUCAUGCACAAGGCAUGCAGUCUUCAGGAGAGCCCGGGUGAUGCACGAACCAGGCGCGCAGGCAUGCGCACCGACCAGCGUAAACGUGCAUGUGCCCCGAAACGUGCGGGCACAUCCUACGCCCGACCGGGUGUGAGCUGGUGAGGCGCCGAUGCCGGAAGCAUGGCGAGAAGAGCCCCGAAUUGGCACCAUCGGGCCCUCCAGGCUCCCAUGUGGAGAGUCUCCAUACUAUGGAAUGCCGGGGCUGGAAGCGACUGAGAAGGAGAGGCAUGGCAUGCAGACGAGUUGAAGGGUCUCAGAGGGCCCUGACCUGAGGCUGGCCGACCUCCUCCCUGAGGUCAUCCGGCAUGCCCGUGGAUCACCACCCCGCUGUUACCCGCACGACAGGCGGCGCCACCGCCCCUGCCCUCGAGCAGAACCCUGGGCGCGGCCCGCUUGGAUCAGGGCCUGCAGCCCAUCCGACUGUUCGCCGGACGCCGGCUGCGCCGCGGGUACCCGACGAAAGGGACGAGGAGGUGACGAUAAGAGCCGGCGAGAUGCAUGGCCCGGUUUGAGGGCAGGACGGCCUGUCCCGGUUGACGCGGAUUUGUCCGUAAUGCCACAGUGGCGGGUGGCGCGUGCCUACAUGCGUAGACUUUGUUGACUUGUUUGUGGCAGGAGAGCGCUUAAAGGGGGAAACAAAAUGACGAGUUCAUUUCGGUAUGUCAAGGUUUUAUGCUGUCAGGCGCGUGCCGAAAGCAGAAUAAAAACGACGAGGAUACACUCAGGGGACUGUGCGAUCGAAAGGAGACUCAGGGUAGAAUGAUCACCCCGACAAAAGGCUAUUCGGAAUAUCAGGUUUUGAGGGGUGAACGAGCGCGCCGCGGUGGGAACUUUGUGCGCGUUCUCAUGUUCAUCGACAUGUUACAGGAGGAUGCACAAUUUAUGUAAUGGCUUCGCCGUGCACGAUGAGUUUCGGCGCUGGUGGCGCUCUUCUACGACGACAGCAUCCAACAUCGGAAUGGCUUCCCCGCAUCCUGGGUGUGCGAAAUGCUCACUUUCAACCUCGUGCAUUACCGUCCUUUUCAUGGAUGGUCUGCUGGGACUUCGAUCCUCUUUUUUUUUCGCUCGUCUUCACGCUCUGGCUUUUUGUGUGGCAG